rnacentral:rRNA from 1 species
GACGAACCACACGAACGUUAUUCGGAAUCACUGGGCUUAAAGGGUGCGUAGGCGGCGCGGAAAGUAGGGUGUGAAAUCCCUCGGCUUAACCGAGGAACUGCGCCCUAAACUACCGUGCUCGAGGGAGAUAGAGGUGAGCGGAACUUAGGGUGGAGCGGUGAAAUGCGUUGAUAUCCUAAGGAACACCGGUGGCGAAAGCGGCUCACUGGAUCUUUUCUGACGCUGAGGCACGAAAGCUAGGGUAGCGAACGGG